CUGUACAGUGUAUAAUUAUGUGAAAGUCACAUAAAUAAAGAUGUCCAUUUUUUUCUCUGUUUUAUCAGAUUUAAAUAUCAUAUCAUUUUGCUAGUGCAAGCAACCUCUACUGUUGUGCACCAUUUGUCCCGAUACUCCACUAGAUGGUGCAAUGGUCCAGGGUUUUUAUUUGUGUUCCUGUUGGGAAGCUAAAUGAGUCAGCGAAGAUUCUAGAACAUUACAGCGUCUCGGAACGCUUACGCAAUUCCAUCCAUAGACCAAUGUCUUCUCAGGAGAGAUGAAAUGGACACGAGAGACCAAGACAUUCAAAUAAGGACAAUGAAGGAGGAAAUCCAUGACAGAAUCACCCACCCAACUCGGACCAAGCGGCGUGGUAAACAGCAGCGACGACAGCAGCAGCAGCAGCAGCAACAACAGCGGCCAGCAUCACAGGACUCCUGGACAUGGGAGGAGAUACUGAACGGAGAGAGACCCUGGGCACAGGCUGGGGAACAUCGCCGCCCCAAAGCAGAGCUGGAGGCAGCGAGCCAGGGCGUAUGGUGCCUGCUCAGCGGGUCUGGUCGCCGGUACGCAGUUUUGGUCCAGGGUAUCCUGCGCCGGCUCUGCGUGCUGUGUCUCCGGGGCGCUGGGAGGGUGCAGUGCACUGCCUGCGCUCCGCUCGUGCCGGGCAAAUGUGGGAGUAGAGCCUAAGGGAGAGGUGCGUGUAGUGAGCACUAGAUCUCCCGUGCUUACCCACAGCCCGGUUCAACCUGUGCCUGCACUCUGGAGGGUCCGGGCUAGAGUAGUUGUCCAGCCUGGGGAAGUGGUGCCAAGGUUGCGCACCAGAGCUCCAGUGCUCCCCCACAGCCCGGUCCUUCAGGUGCCUCCUCCUAACACCAAGCCUCCUGAAGGUCUCCCCAGCCUGGUGGUUCCUGUGGCAGCUCCACGCACCAGGCUGUCUCUCUGUCUCCUCCCUGCAGGUGGUCCCGCCAGUCCGGCGCCGCUGCCGGAGUCUCCCGCCUGUCCGGCGCCGCUGCCGGAGUCUCCCGCCU
rnacentral:lncRNA from 1 species